UCCGAUGUAGCUCAACAGGUUGAGCAGGCCCCUGUUAAGGGCAAGGUUCCUGGUUCGAGUCCAGGCAUCGGAGC
rnacentral:tRNA from 1 species